rnacentral:lncRNA from 1 species
UCACACAAAAGCUCACGUUUUGCCUGCCCGUUUCAUCCGUUGCGGUUAUCGAACCGCGGCGUAUUUUCAUUUUGUCGUUUACGGACGGGUCUUUGGUAUAGUACAGUCAGUCAGACGAGGGUCAAAUUGUGUAAUCGUCCUGUGUUUUAUACUCACAAGCAAUAUUUUUAUAGACAAUUACUGUACUUUGCCAUCUGACUAUGGCAGCCUCUACAAGGAUUGAAAAAAUCGAGUAUUUUGAUAGCGAAAGGCUUAUUAAAGAAAUCGAAAAACAAGAAUCAUUAUGGAACAAAAAUAUACCGGAAUACAAUGAUAAAAACCUUAGGGACUAUCUCUGGAAAAAGGUUUGCCAAGCUGUUAUAUCUAAUUGGGAUAUAUUAGAUAAUCAUUCUCAGGAUAAAACAGUGCGAGAUGUACAGCGUAAAUGGAAAAAUUUUAGAGACUGCUUCCGCAAAGAAAUAAACCUUCAAAGGGUUCACCAACGCAAUCCUAGCAUGAAAAAAAGGAGAAAAUAUAUGUUCUAUGAUAACCUUCGAUUUUUAUUACCCCUUAUGGAUGACAAGAAGACACAUCAACAAGAUGACUCGGCGCAUACGUCUGGCGAGGAGGCUGACGAGCAGAUAUUAACAGAGCCAGAAAAUUCAACAAAUUGCAAUGACGUGAACAGUCAACCAGUAAGAUUACAGAAAAUACCGAAAAUUGCCCUACCAGUUCAGAGGGAAAGUGUGCUCGUUCCUUCAUAUCAGCCACAUGAGGCGGACGAUAUUGACGAGGAUAAAUAUUUUUUAUUGUCUUUAGUACCUACCUUUCGGAAAUUAUCGCAGGAGCAAAAGUUUAAUGCCAAAAUGGACAUCUUAAAACUUCUAAAAAAUAUAUCGUGCCCUUCAACUAGCUCCAAUGCUAGCAAUUUUUGUUAUGCGCUCGGACAAGAUAAUAUUCCCAAAAUCGAAAUGGAAAAUAAUGAUCCAUAUUAGGUUUAAAUAGGCUUAUUAUAUUUAAUAGUUGUUUAAACAAAUCAGAAUGUAGUAUAAUAGAACUAAGUUAUUACUUA